GGAAUGACGAGCUAGCAAUGCAAAGAUACGGAGCUGUGGAUUCUGUUGGCUCCUGCCGGCUGUGCCCUCACUGUGCUCAGUGCUGAAUUCUGGGUUUUAGACAGGGGAAGGAAGCGGUCCAGUUCGGUUCUCCACACCGGUAAGACUACCAAGGAAGCCAGCGGCCACCAUCUUGGAGAGCUGACAUCAUCAUCGCCUGUUUUCGACUGAUAGCAGCUCACUCAGCUAUAGAACAGGUAAUUUCAGGCUGCCAUUCGCCUGCGUCUUGCAGGCAUACUGCUCAGGAUCAGUGAUAAAGAACCCGCGGAAACUGCUUCUCGGAGCCUGCUACUGUCAGAACAUACACCGAGCCUGGAGCGGCCGAAAUCUGGCUCCCGUUCGCCUGUGUCUCACAGACAAACUGCUCUGGCUCAGGGCUAAAGAACCUGUGGGAACUGCUUCUCAGUCUGGGUCCUGCUGAAUACUGUGGAGGUAAAUACCAACCGAGCCUUCAUAGGCAGUGGCAAAAAGAUUGAGACGGGGCUUGAGAGGGCUGGUCAGGACCCACCCAUUGCUUUGGCCACCCGGCAAAGGGAACAAAAUGCUGCCAUCUGCAUGGGAUACCAACAUGGCAGAGAUCUGAUGUCAUCGGAAAGCGGCGGAGGAGAUAACUUCAUUGAUACCAGCGGCGACAGGUAUGUAGUCCCCUAGCCCCUACCUCCACAGAGCGGGGAAAUCUCAAAGGCCCCACCCAGCUCUCCCGUGAGUGCGAUAGUCAGACGGAGGGAUCCAGGACUGGCACGGGACCCGCUGCACAGGACCCCCAGGAUACCACUCCCACCAGCGCAGACAACUGAGGUCCCCUGCACCAGCUCCUGGGGGCGUGGCUACCAGAGGGCAAGCAAAAUAUGCCAAGGGCUCUCAGCCCCAAUCUCCACAACCUUAGGGGCUGAGGGAUUGGCAAGCAGGGAUAUGGUGCCCAGUUGUUCAAGAAGAUAGGGCUCCAGUGAGCGGCAGUCCUGUCGUGUAGCCAGCACUGUGGUGAGCAUCACCUGUGAAUGAGGCCAGUGGCAAGAUGACUAGACAAAAGAAAUGGCCCAAGACACUCAGGUGUGGAGAUCUGCCCAGUCGUGGAGGAGGAGCUGCUGCACAUUGAUUGGUUCCCGUGCACUGAGAGGAGAAGAUUGGCCCGGUGGGCACAGCUCCACCUACUGGAAGAGAAGUUAAUCGAACUCUAAGACUGCAUUUUUUGAUUUUUAAUUUUAAUUUUUUUUCUUUCUUUUUUUAGUUUUUUAAAAUAUUUUUGUAUUAUAAAUUUAUUUUUUACUAUCACUUUUUUUGAUUAUUAUUUUUAUUUUUUUAUUCUCUAUUUUUUUCUUUUGUCUUUUCAUUUCUUAUCAAUUUCCUUAUUCCCCUUUCUUUGAAUUCUAUCUAUUUACUCUCAUUCCCUUUAGUGACUUCUUCCCUUCCAUUCUAAAACCUUUCCUCCCAAGCAAAACAAUGCUGUUUAUGUGUAAUUUACUAAAUAUGUGUAGGUCAAUGUUCCGAGGUGUUAUAUAGUGCUACCAAGACCUUACCUUCCCCCAAAUACUCCAGAACAUUCCCC
rnacentral:lncRNA from 1 species